CCACUUACUGCCUGCCCUGACUCUCUCACUCUCACUACCCUGAUAUCCACUUACUGCCUGCCCUGACUCUCCCACUCCGAUAUCCACUUACUGCCUGCCCUGACUCUCCCACUACAAUAUCCACUUACUGCCUGCCCUAACUCUCUCACUACAAUAUCCACUUACUGCCUGCCCUGACUCUCUCACUACCAUGAUAUCCACUUAAUGACUGCCCUGACUCUCGCACUACGAUAUCCACUUACUGCCUGCCCUGACUCUCUCACUCUCACUACCCUGAUAUCCACUUACUGCCUGCCCUGACUCUCUCACUCCGAUAUCCACUUACUGCCUGCCCUGACUCUCCCACUACAAUAUCCACUUACUGCCUGCCCUGACUCUCUCACUACCCUGAUAUCCACUUGCUGCCUGCCCUGAUUCUCUCAUGCUCUAUAGCCAGAUAUAUGCUUACUGGACUAAAUUUGAAAGUCAUUUUUAAUUCUCACUAUAGUAAAUAACCCUGUCAGUGUUUGGAAAACAAAUCCCCAUCCCCAGGGAAAUGCAUGUUCACUAAUCCAGCAAUUCUGGAGAUUCAAGGAAGACUAGCAUAUAUUAGGCAAAAGUAGCUGUGGACAAAAAAAUUAUCAAAAUGAGGGAAAAAUGCAGUGUAAUGAUUUUGCGUAAAUAAUUGCAAAUCCCCUGAAAGUCCCCAUGAUUCCUGGUUUAGGGAAGAAACAACACAGUAGAAGUAACUUGCUAAAUAUUCCCCCUCCAUUCUCAUUCACAAGUUAUGGUCCUGGCUGACAUGGCCCCUCCAUCCUCAUUUAGUAGUUAUUGUCCUUGCUGACGUGGUCCCUCCAUCCUCAUUCAGUAGUAUUGGUCCUGUAUGACAUUUUCAUUCAGUAGUUAUGGUCCCGGCUGACAUGGUUCAGUAGUUAUGGUCCCUCCAUUCUCAUUCAGUAGUUAUGGUCCUUGCGAACAUGGUCCCUCCAAUCUCAUUCAGUAGUUAUGGUCCUGGCUGAUAUGGCCCCUCCAUCCUCAUUCAGUAGUUAUGGUCCUGGCUGAGAUGGUCCCUCCAAUCUCAUUCAGUAGUUAUGGUCCCGGCUGACAUGGUUCAGUAGUUAUGGUCCCUCCAUUCUCAUUCAGUAGUUAUGGUCCUGUCUGACAUGGUCCCUCCAUCCUCAUUCAGUAGUUAUGGUCCUGGCUGAGAUGGUCCCUCCAUCCUCAUUAAGUAGUUAUGGUCCUUGCUGACAUGGUCCCUCCAAUCUCAUUCAGUAGUUAUGGUACUGGCUGACAUUGUUCAGUAGUUAUGGUCCCUCCAUUCUCAUUCAGUAGUUAUGGUCCUGGCUGACAUGGUCCCUCCAUUCUCAUUCAGUAGUUAUGGUCCCUCCAUUCUCAUUCAGUAGUUAUGGUCCUGGCUGAGAUGGUCCCUCCAUCCUCAUUAAGUAGUUAUGGUCCUUGCUGACAUGGUCCCUCCAAUCUCAUUCAGUAGUUAUGGUACUGGCUGACAUUGUUCAGUAGUUAUGGUCCCUCCAUUCUCAUUCAGUAGUUAUGGUCCUGGCUGACAUGGUCCCUCCAUUCUCAUUCAGUAGUUAUGGUCCCUCCAUUCUCAUUCAGUAGUUAUGGUCCUGGCUGAGAUGGUCCCUCCAUCCUCAUUAAGUAGUUAUGGUCCUUGCUGACAUGGUCCCUCCAAUCUCAUUCAGUAGUUAUGGUCCUGGCUGACAUGGUCCCUCCAUCCUCAUUCAGUAGUUAUGGUCCUGGCUGACAUGGCCCCCUCCAUUCUCAUUCAGUAGUUAUGGUCCUGUCUGACAUGGUCCCUCCAUUCUCAUUCAGUAGUUAUGGUCCUGGCUGACAUGGUCCCUCCAUCCUCAUUCAGUAGUCAUGGUCCUGGCUGACAUGGCCCCCUCCAUUCUCAUUCAGUAGUUAUGGUCCUGUCUGACAUGGUCCCUCCAUUCUCAUUCAGUAGUUAUGGUCCUGGCUGACAUGGUUCAGUAGUUAGGGUCCCUCCAUCCUCAUUCAGUAGUUAUGGUCCUUGCUGAAAUGGUCCCUCCAAUCUCCUUCAGUAGUUAUGGUACUGGCUGACAUGGUCCCUCCAUCCUCAUUCAGUAGUUAUGGUCCUGGCUGAGAUGGUCCCUCCAUUCUCAUUCAGUAGUUAUGGUCCUGGCUGACAUGGUUCAAUAGUUAUGGUCCCUCCAUUCUCAUUCAGUAGUUAUGGCCAUGGCUGACUUGGUCCCUCCAUUCUCAUUCAGUAGUUAUGGUCCUGGCUGACAUGGUUCAGUAGUUAUGGUCCUUCCAUUCUCAUUUAGUAGUUCUGGUCCUGGCUGGCAUGGUUCAGUAGUUCUGGUCCUGGCUGGCAUGGUUCAGUAGUUAUGGUCCCUUCAUUCUCAUUCAGUAGUUAUGGUCCUGGCUGGCAUGGUUCAGUAGUUAUGGUCCCUCCAUUCUCAUUCAGUAGUUAUGGUCCUGGCUGGCAUGGUCACUCCAUUCUCAUUCAGUAGUUAUGGUCCUGGCUGACAUGGUCCCUCCAUCCUCAUUCAGUAGUUAUGGUCCUGGCUGACAUGGCCCCCUCCAUUCUCAUUCAGUGGUUAUGGUCCUG